rnacentral:rRNA from 1 species
CGGUGUUCAACUGGCGUGUCCGCGGGACGUCCUGCCGGUGGGCUUAGCCCGCAAGGGCGGCCCAACUUCAAAUCCCAUCGCGGUGCUCUUCACUGAGUGUCGAGGUGGGCCGGCACGUUUACUUUGAACAAAUUAGAGUGCUUAAAGCAGGCUAAAACUUCGCCUGAAUACUGUGUGCAUGGAAUAAUGGAAUAGGACCUCGGUUCUAUUUUGUUGGUUUUCGGAACCCCGAGGUAAUGAUUAAUAGGAACGGAUGGGGGCAUUCGUAUUGCGACGUUAGAGGUGAAAUUCUUGGAUCGUCGCAAGACGGACAGAAGCGAAGGCAUUUGCCAACAACGCUUUCAUUGAUCAAGAACGAAAGUUAGAGGUUCGAAGGCGAUCAGAUACCGCCUUAGUUCUAACCAUAAACGAUGCCAGCUAGCGAUCCGUCGACGUUCCUCCGAUGACUCGACGGGCAGCUUCCGGGAAACCAAAGCUUUUGGGUUCCGGGGGAAGUAUGGUUGCAAAGCUGAAACUUAAAGGAAUUGACGGAAGGGCACCACCAGGAGUGGAGCCUGCGGCUUAAUUUGACUCAACACGGGAAACCUCACCAGGCCCGGACACCGGAAGGAUUGACAGAUUGAGAGCUCUUUCUUGAUUCGGUGGGUGGUGGUGCAUGGCCGUUCUUAGUUGGUGGAGCGAUUUGUCUGGUUAAUUCCGAUAACGAACGAGACUCUAGCCUGCUAACUAGGCGUAUUUUCGACAUCUCAAAGGUCCGUCGUCCCGGCCCUCGGGUCGUGGGCGUGCGCGAUUUUUACUGUCGGCGUACUAUCAAUUCUUCUUAGAGGGACAGGUGGCUUCUAGCCGCACGAGAUUGAGCAAUAACAGGUCUGUGAUG